UUGGCUUUAAUCCCUGACUACAGUUUGUCU
rnacentral:piRNA from 1 species